GUCAAAACAUUUUACCUCUUUACGAAAGAUCAACAUUUGCAGUAACAAUGAGAAUUUGGGAGUUGCCUGUGAGUAUUCAUUUUUCCUUUGAUCUUACAUUACAGAUUGCUUGCUUUUAUUAAGUAGCUAUUGAAAUGUUAUGAAACUAUUGGAAACAACCUAGAAAUUUGGACAUGAAGGAUUUCUGUCCUUUUUCUCCUCUGGUGUUGGCAUCUUAAUGCCACUGAAAGUCAUACAACCUAGUUUCAUGAAGUUUGCUCUCAAGAUGGUUUUUCAUGCCACAUCAUCAGAGGCCCUGCAAAGCCUUCUCAUGUUUCCUCUGAGGAAUGUACUUUGAAAAACACCUAUUGCAGAUCUGCU
ensembl:lncRNA